rnacentral:rRNA from 1 species
GAUGAACGCUGGCGGCGUGCCUAAUACAUGCCAGUCGAGCGAACAGAUGAGGAGCUUGCUCCUCUGACGUUAGCGGCGGACGGGUGAGUAACACGUGGAUAACCUACCUAUAAGACUGGGAUAACUUCGGGAAACCGGAGCUAAUACCGGAUAAUAUAUUGAACCGCAUGGUUCAAUAGUGAAAGACGGUUUUGCUGUCACUUAUAGAUGGAUCCGCGCCGCAUUAGCUAGUUGGUAAGGUAACGGCUUACCAAGGCAACGAUGCGUAGCCGACCUGAGAGGGGGAUCGGCCACACUGGAACUGAGACACGGUCCAGACUCCUACGGGAGGCAGCAGUAGGGAAUCUUCCGCAAUGGGCGAAAGCCUGACGGAGCAACGCCGCGUGAGUGAUGAAGGUCUUCGGAUCGUAAAACUCUGUUAUUAGGGAAGAACAAAUGUGUAAGUAACUAUGCACGUCUUGACGGUACCUAAUCAGAAGGCCACGGCUAACUACGUG